UUGUUUGGCGUGCCAUAACUUCACGUACGUCAUACGUUGCGAAGCAGGAAAUUGAGUCUCUGAAAUUCUCACGGAAGAAAAUCAAAUUACAUGGUGAAAAUGGUAAAGACAAAUUUAGUAUUUUCGACUGUUACAUUGAUCACAUUUCUUGGUCUUGCCAAAGGAACAAUAACAUCUCCACCUGAUGGUCAAAGAUUUGUAUUUUUACCUGGAUCUUCUCACAAUAUAACUUGGACAUUAAAUGUUACUGGAAACAUUCGUUUAUGGCAGUGGAGUUUAACACCUCGUGGUUCAUCUCCCUCAACAAAUUGCA